rnacentral:rRNA from 1 species
AGAGUUUGAUCCUGGCUCAGGACGAACGCUGGCGGCGUGCCUAACACAUGCAAGUCGAGCGAGAAUUUCAUAACGGAUUCCUUCGGGGAGAAGAUGUGGAAGGAAAGCGGCGGACGGGUGAGUAACGCGUGAGUAACCUGCCUAUCAGAGGGGGACAACAUUUCGAAAGGGAUGCUAAUACCGCAUGAUAUCUAAGUAUCGCAUGAUACUUAGAUCAAAGAUUUAUCGCUGAUAGAUGGACUCGCGUCUGAUUAGCUGGUUGGUGAGGUAACGGCUCACCAAGGCGACGAUCAGUAGCCGAACUGAGAGGUUGAUCGGCCACAUUGGGACUGAGACACGGCCCAGACUCCUACGGGAGGCAGCAGUGGGGGAUAUUGCGCAAUGGGGGCAACCCUGACGCAGCAACGCCGCGUGAAGGAAGAAGGUUUUCGGAUCGUAAACUUCUUUAAGUGUGGAAGAAGAUGACGGUACACACAGAAUAAGCCACGGCUAACUACGUGCCAGCAGCCGCGGU